rnacentral:rRNA from 1 species
GACAGAGGGUGCAAACGUUGUUCGGAAUUACUGGGCGUAAAGCGAGUGUAGGCGGUGUGGUAAGUCGGAUGUGAAAGCCCCGGGCUCAACCCGGGAAGUGCACUCGAUACUGCCACGCUAGAGUAUCGGAGAGGUUGGUGGAAUUCUCGGUGUAGAGGUGAAAUUCGUAGAUAUGACUUAGAACACCAAUUGCGAAGGCAGCUUGCUAAACAAAUAUUGACGCUGAGGCACGAAAGCGUGGGGAUCAAACAGG